CUUAGCGGCGGACGGGUGAGUAAUGCUUAGGAAUCUGCCUAUUAGUGGGGGACAACAUUCCGAAAGGAAUGCUAAUACCGCAUACGUCCUACGGGAGAAAGCAGGGGAUCUUCGGACCUUGCGCUAAUAGAUGAGCCUAAGUCGGAUUAGCUAGUUGGUGGGGUAAAGGCCUACCAAGGCGACGAUCUGUAGCGGGUCUGAGAGGAUGAUCCGCCACACUGGGACUGAGACACGGCCCAGACUCCUACGGGAGGCAGCAGUGGGGAAUAUUGGACAAUGGGCGGAAGCCUGAUCCAGCCAUGCCGCGUGUGUGAAGAAGGCCUUUUGGUUGUAAAGCACUUUAAGCGAGGAGGAGGCUACCUGGAUUAAUACUCUGGGAUAGUGGACGUUACUCGCAGAAUAAGCACCGGCUAACUCUGUGCCAGCAGCCGCGGUAAUACAGAGGGUGCGAGCGUUAAUCGGAUUUACUGGGCGUAAAGCGUGCGUAGGCGGCUUAUUAAGUCGGAUGUGAAAUCCCCGAGCUUAACUUGGGAAUUGCAUUCGAUACUGGGAAGCUAGAGUAUGGGAGAGGAUGGUAGAAUUCCAGGUGUAGCGGUGAAAUGCGUAGAGAUCUGGAGGAAUACCGAUGGCGAAGGCAGCCAUCUGGCCUAAUACUGACGCUGAGGUACGAAAGCAUGGGGAGCAAACAGGAUUAGAUACCCUGGUAGUCCAUGCCGUAAACGAUGUCUACUAGCCGUUGGGGCCUUUGAGGCUUUAGUGGCGCAGCUAACGCGAUAAGUAGACCGCCUGGGGAGUACGGUCGCAAGACUAAAACUCAAAUGAAUUGACGGGGGCCCGCACAAGCGGUGGAGCAUGUGGUUUAAUUCGAUGCAACGCGAAGAACCUUACCUGGCCUUGACAUACUAGAAACUUUCCAGAGAUGGAUUGGUGC
rnacentral:rRNA from 1 species